GCCGCGGGAGCGCAGGAGGGCGCGCCGGCACUUCACUGUGGGCCAUGGAACGACCUGCAACCAUCAUGCUUCUCGUCCUGCAGCUCUGCGCUGCCCUUGUUCACAGAGCACUGCACGCCGGCAAUUUCAGUAACAUUACAUCAACUGGGCUGUUAGGUGGCCUGGCCUUCCUGCUUCAGACAUAGUCAAGUCUCCAUAAUGUGACUUUUACAGGCAUCUGUUCAUUUUUCAUCACUGGUCCAUACCCAUAGCUCACAGUGCUCAUGUAUACUGCCUGCAUCUGCUACCCAUAGGAAUUUUUGAAGUUGUCUCUUGUAACCAUCAAAUUUAGAUUUUUCUGGCAAUUUGAAUGCCAUCCGAAUGUUGGGAGACCAUACAUUUUAACGAAGCAAUCUUAAAUUAGUUAUAGCAAAGCUGGAAAUCUUGACACUUGUUGAUAUUGCAUCAGCGUGCAAGUCGCCCAAUGUGGUGUCGACUGAAUUAAGACUUGCACUUGGCGGCCAAACUUCCCGGAUAGGGGCCUCCCGGCCAACGAUGCCAUACGCUCAUUUCAUUUUAUUCCUGAGACACACAAUUCAGCCACUUACAUUAGAGCAGUUAUGGAAAAUACAAGUGAAACAAAUGGAUGCUAUGUUCUCACACAAGAUACUGAUGUCUGGAGACAGUCAGUGCACGGAAUUCGAGAUUUAGACCUUACGAUUUGUGACUACCCUGGUACCAAGGCAGCUAACUACCUAUGCUCCUGCCACACAAGACGAUGACUGGAGCUGGAGCGGAAAAUGUUGUACACCAACCUGAGAAAAAUUUGUGUCAGUUUCAGCAAAAGAAAAAAAAGGAUAAUUUCGCCACAACUGUUUUAGGAAAGAACAGCAAGCAGAUUGGUGACAUCGGUUCUCAUCCAGAUUCAUGCCAUACACCACUGUUAGUGCCACCUUAAUGUCCACAAGAACGGGAGUAUACUAAUUUGUAUAUCUUUAGCAGUAAUUGGAUAGCAUGAAUAAGUAGUAUACUUAGAUGGAAUCAGUAUGACUGAAGUGAAUGCGUAGUGUAUGCCGGCUUAGUAUUUUUUGUGCAUGAAAGGUUAUGGGAAAUUAACACUACACUAUCAUACAGUACAACACCUCACCACCCCUUAAGAUUACAAAGAACUUUAAUCAUUUAAAAUUAUCACUGUAAUAAUAUCAAAUUAUUUAUGUAAUAGAAUAGGAUUAUAUAUUAGGCAUUGUCAACCCUUUUAUUCUUUUAUUCUGGGAGGAAUCUUUCAUUAUAAUUCAUUGUAUUUAUGUUGUACACACAUUUGUAAAAACACGGCACUGAAUCUUGUUGGAAGGAUUGUGCAGACUAUUUGCGGCUGAGUUGAUGGGGAUGUGUGAGGCGUCUUGGAGAGGUUGCUGACCUUGCGGAGCGGCGACAUCCACUGAAGUGGACUGGGCAGAAGGGCUGGCAGACAUGCUGGACGGUCAAGGCCACACGGCAGUCCUGCGAGGAUGGCAGACGCUGCAGGUGGCGGCCGACUUAGCGACCGGCGGACAGCUGGUAAACAUGACAUCAUCGGCUGCGUGGAUAAGGCCUCCAGCUGUCAACAGGGGCCUGGCGCGGGCGACAAUGGAGCACUUUCACUGCUGGUGCUACUACAAGGUCCCGAGGGACCCUACCAAUGAGCGGAAGACCAGAGACCGGAGCCUGCGGGAUGCACUUGAGGUCCGCUGAAUGAAGGUAUUACGUGUCUGGAGACAUGCUCGACCAGCGGGCAGCUGGUAGACACGACAUCAUCAGCUGCGUGAAUAAGGGUCCAAAGCGGGUGAGCCCCUUCUGGCCUCCAGCAGUCAACAGGGGCCUGGCCCGGGCGACAACAGAGCACUUUCACCGCCGGUGCUACUACAAGGCCCCGAGGGACACUCCCAAUGAGUGGAAGCCCGAGACCGGUGCCAGCAGGACGCACUUGAGGUCUGCUGAAUGAAGGUAUUACAUGCCUCGAGACACGCUCGACCGGCGGGCAGCUGGUAGACAUGGCAUCAUCAGCUGCGUGAAUAAGGCCUCCAGCUGUCAACAGGGGCCUGGCGCAGGCGACAACGGAGCACUUUCACUGCCGGUGCUACUACAAGGUCCCGAGCGACCCUCCCAAUGAGUGAAAGCCCGAAACUGGAGCCAGCAGGACGCACUUGAGGUCUGCUGAAUGAAGGUAUUACAUGCCUGGAGACACGCUCGACCCGCAGGCAGCUGGUAGACAUGACAUCAUCAGCUGCAUGAAUAAGGGUCCAAAGAUGGCGAGCCCCUUCAGGCCUCCAGCUGCCAACAGGGGCCUGGCGCAGGCGACAACGGAGCACUUUCACUGCCAGUGCUACUAGAAGGUCCUGAGGAACCCUCCCAAUGAGUGGAAGCCCGAAACCGGAGCCAACAGGACGCACUUGAGGUCCGCUGAAUGAAGGUAUUACAUGUCUGAAUACACGCUCGACGGCGACGGCAGGAGGUGUUCACCUCAAACCUGGUGUCCAAAUGCUGCACAGGUCUUCCCAUGAAAGUCUUCAACAGCGGCCACGCAUUGCCGACCACCACGUCAUCCAAGACGGUCAGUAAAUGAGACGCCAAUGAUUGCUGCCAGAGACAAGUUCCCGCUACACGGUGGGGCUGCCUGUAUUGCACAUGCCAAGAAAAAAAAGCUGUAACUCACCUUGGCAAACUCAUCCCAUAUAGCUGCCACAUCCAACCUGUUGUCUGACAUGUGUAGUGCGGUGUUUUCGUGUGAAAACUGAAAAUUUAUAAAAAUUAUUUUGCGCUCCCUAACGACCUUUGAGAAGGGAACUGUAGGAAGCUUUGUUCUGAUUGUUACCUUAUGUACGUUUAUUUAUUUUUAUUUUUUCGUAUCUGAUAUGUGCCUCACUGUUUGCAUCUUACACAUUUACAUGUUUUCUCUAUGUUUUGCUAUGAAGUUUUGUUUUUGUUAAUGGACUCUUGUAUUUUUUUGGCAUUUGGUGUAAAGUUUCACUUGGUUUUAUGACACUCAUAUGUUGUUUGGUUGUGUUGAUACUUAUAGCUUUACAUUUAAGGGACAAAUUUACACAUUUUAGAUAAAUAAGAAGCACAGAUAACUCGUAAAAUUUAACCUAGUAAUAGUUUCUUUUUGGAUGAAUGUGAGAGCGUGUGUAAUCAAUGUUCUGUCAAGGAAUGAAUGUAGCAAUGUGUAUAAUUGAGCAGGGGUAGUAAUUUUUCCAAGGGGCAGAGAAUCCUCAAGACCACAAUAUUACAUUCAAGUUAGGGAAUAACCUUCUCUGAGCCCAACUUCAGGAUGAAUGAGUAGAUAAAUGUCUGCAUGGCCCUGUAACCGUUUAAUAAUUGUUAUUUAAAUCUGGGUCUUCAAGAAUAUGACCUGAUGGUAUACUCAUCACACUUUAUUUUUCAUUUAAUUUUGUGGGCGUGCAGCAGAGAGGGUAUGGAUGACCCCUGGUUGAAUGUGGUUAAGACAGGGUAUAACACUGUGCUGGGAUUUAUGGUGUAGAAAGGUUGAUUCAUGUUCAUUUCUU